rnacentral:rRNA from 1 species
AGUGAACGCUGGCGGUAGGCCUAACACAUGCAAGUCGAACGGCAGCACAGUAAGAGCUUGCUCUUACGGGUGGCGAGUGGCGGACGGGUGAGGAAUACAUCGGAAUCUACUUUAUCGUGGGGGAUAACGUAGGGAAACUUACGCUAAUACCGCAUACGACCUACGGGUGAAAGCAGGGGAUCUUCGGACCUUGCGCGAUUGAAUGAGCCGAUGUCGGAUUAGCUAGUUGGCGGGGUAAAGGCCCACCAAGGCGACUAUCCGUAGCUGGUCUGAGGGGAUGAUCAGCCACACUGGAACUGAGACAAGGUCCAGACUCCUACGGGAGGCAGCAGUGGGGAAUAUUGGACAAUGGGGGCAAGCCUGAUCCAGCCAUACCGCGUGGGUGAAGAAGGCCUUCGGGUUGUAAAGCCCUUUUGUUGGGAAAGAAAAGCAGCAGGUUAAUACCCCGCUGUUCUGACGGUACCCAAAGAAUAAGCACCGGCAAACUUCGUG